AACGAACGCUGGCGGCAGGCUUAACACAUGCAAGUCGAACGCACCUUUCGGGGUGAGUGGCAGACGGGUGAGUAACGCGUGGGAAUCUACCCUUCUCUACGGGAUAGCUCCGGGAAACUGGAAUUAAUACCGUAUACGUCCUGAGGGAGAAAGAUUUAUCGGGGAAGGAUGAGCCCGCGUUGGAUUAGCUAGUUGGUGGGGUAAAGGCCUACCAAGGCGACGAUCCAUAGCUGGUCUAAGAGGAUGAUCAGCCACAUUGGGACUGAGACACGGCCCAAACUCCUACGGGAGGCAGCAGUGGGGAAUAUUGGACAAUGGGCGCAAGCCUGAUCCAGCCAUGCCGUGUGAGUGAUGAAGGCCCUAGGGUUGUAAAGCUCUUUCAGUGGGGACGAUAAUGACGGUACCCACAGAAGAAGCCCCGGCUAACUUCGUG
rnacentral:rRNA from 1 species